CACACACCCCGUCCUGAUGAGGAGGCCAUGCCCAGCUCAACACCAGCCGUAUAAUGGAGAUAGCUUGGAUAUUGACAGAUGGGCCAAUUUUACCUGACCAUGGGGGGAGAAAAUAGAACACCUUCCUUGAAAUCCUUACAGAGGAAGACAGAAAUUAGACAUUGGCUACGUAGACCACUCACUGCAAUAUGACGUCAUUAUCUUCAAGUACGCACUGACCCGAGUCACUCAUGUCACCUAUUACAAUUGGUCUUUAUCUGUCAUCGUGUGGUGUGUGUCAUGCGUCUUUCCUUUACAAUUUUACAUUUUGAACUUCUUCUUGAAAACUACACGGCCAAUUGUUACCAUAUUUGAUGUGAAACAUUGCUACAAUAAGAAGAAUUUAGAUUUAAUAUAACUGGAUUAUCCGCUGAGUGACCGAUAUUUGGACUUGUUUUAAAUAACGCGCCAUUAUUUGAACCUGUGUUCUGUGUACUUGAACUAUACAGUAAUUACUUAUUAUUCUGUCUUAUCAUUUUUAUUGCACAGUAUGUUAUCUGUUUAAAAUAGUAAUUUGUCAUUUUACAUUGAUAUCAAUUGUUUGAACCGAGUUUUCCAAAGGAGAAAUCCAGUUAUUGAAAUGGUGAAAGGGGCACGCCGGCGGGCAGCUGCGAGAAGGGUACCCCUAUUGUACUGCAAAUCAAUUGUACAUAUAUAAGAGAUGUGCAUAAAACUUGGAUUUGUUGUUGUUGUAAAUUUAUAUAAAAAAAUACCAGCUGUUGAACUUGGUCAAUUUUACGCAGAAUAUUGUAUAUAAGGUACCCCCAUUGUACGGAUAACUCUUCAUAACUCUUCAUACAGUUUUUAAGAUAGGUAGUUGUUGUCUUGUAGAUCAAUUGUACAUAUAUCAGAGAUGUGCAUAUAACUUGGAUUUAUAUUUUGAUUAUUUAUGUGUACAUACACUCUACAGUAAUUAGUUAUUAUACUUCCUUACAUGGCUUAUCAAUUAUAUCUUAGUAUGAGUGUAGUAAAUUCUCAUCUGACAGUAUGUAUUUAAUUCUUUUGAAUGCUCUUAUAAUACCCAGUAAUUUAGUGAUGGGAAAAAGAUGUUACUUAAAAUUGGGGCUUAUAUCUGAGGAUUUUUUAUUUUUCCUUUUUGUAAUAUGUUUUAGAUAGUUUCACCUAGAACUGGUUGUUGACCCCUGACAUGUUUUUCUCUGAAAGUUAAUUGAAUAUCAGUAAAUAUAAUUACAAAAUUUUAAAAAAUGCCCUUAAUAAGAAUAGCAUUGGUGGAUUUAGCACAUUUCUUUAUAUUGAUCAUGUAAAUAGAAAACUCGUGUUUAUGUAAAUAGUUUUUGAACAAUAUUGUAACUAAGUUAAAGUGUACUGAUGUUUUUCUUCAAAAAUUUGAUUUUUCUUUGUAUUUACGCUUUCCAUUAAAUUCAUAAUACUUAUAAACAAUGGUUUUUGGUGAGUUGUAGCAAGCUGUAGAUAGAACUCAAUAAAUGUGAUAUUU
rnacentral:sRNA from 1 species